ACAUGACUCUCGGCAACGGAUAUCUCGGCUCUCGCAUCGAUGAAGAACGUAGCGAAAUGCGAUACCUGGUGUGAAUUGCAGAAUCCCGCGAACCAUCGAGUCUUUGAACGCAAGUUGCGCCCGAGGCCGUCGGGCCGAGGGCACGCCUGCCUGGGCGUCACGC
rnacentral:rRNA from 1 species